UCCCUGGUGGUCCAGUGGUUAAGACUCUGCGCUUCCAAUGCAGGGAACAUAGGUAUUGAUCCCUGUUUGGGGAA
rnacentral:tRNA from 1 species